rnacentral:rRNA from 1 species
UACGGGGGGGGUAAGCGUUGUUCGGAAUCACUGGGCGUAAAGCGCACGUAGGCGGGUUGUUAAGUCGGGGGUGAAAUCCUGGAGCUCAACUCCAGAACUGCCUUCGAUACUGGCGACCUUGAGUCCGGGAGAGGAGAGUGGAACUCCGAGUGUAGAGGUGAAAUUCGUAGAUAUUCGGAAGAACACCAGUGGCGAAGGCGGCUCACUGGCCCGGUACUGACGCUGAGGUGCGAAAGCGUGGGGAGCAAACAGG